UUAGUUUAAUAAGUAGAGCGGUCGCCUGAGGCGACAUGUCGGGGGUUCAAAUCCCUCACCGACCA
rnacentral:tRNA from 1 species